UACGAGGGGGGCGAGCGUUGUUCGGAAUUAUUGGGCGUAAAGGGUGCGUAGGCGGUUCCGCAAGUCCUGUGUGAAAUCUUCGGGCUCAACUCGAAGUCUGCACGGGAAACUGCGGGGCUUGAGUGUGGGAGAGGUGAGUGGAAUUGCAGGUGUAGCGGUGAAAUGCGUAGAUAUCUGCAGGAACACCCGUGGCGAAGGCGGCUCGCUGGACCGCAACUGACGCUGAGGAACGAAAGCUAGGGGAGCAAACAGG
rnacentral:rRNA from 1 species